rnacentral:rRNA from 1 species
CCUACGGGAGGCAGCAGUGAGGAAUAUUGGUCAAUGGACGCAAGUCUGAACCAGCCAAGUAGCGUGCAGGAUGACGGCCCUCCGGGUUGUAAACUGCUUUUAGUUGGGAAUAAAAGGGGGCUCGUGAGCCCCGUCUUGUAUGUACCAUCAGAAAAAGGACCGGCUAAUUCCGUGCCAGCAGCCGCGGUAAUACGGAAGGUCCGGGCGUUAUCCGGUUUUAUUGGGUUUAAAGGGAGCGUAGGCCGGUUUUUGAGUCAGCUGUGAAAGUCCGCGGCUCAACCGUGGAAUUGCAGUUGAAACUGGAGGCCUUGAGUGCACACAGGGAUGCCGGAAUUCAUGGUGUAGCGGUGAAAUGCUUAGAUAUCAUGAAGAACUCCGAGCGCGAAGGCAAGAGUCCGGGGUGCAACUGACGCUGAGGCUCGAAAGUGCGGGUAUCAAACAGGAUUAGAUACCCGGGUAGUC